UACGUAGGGUCCGAGCGUUGUCCGGAGUUACUGGGCGUAAAGCGCGCGCAGGUGGUCCAUUAAGCCCGGCGUGAAAGCCCCCGGCUCAACCGGGGAGGGUCGCCUGGGGACUGGUGGACUUGAGGGCGGCAGGGGCUGGUGGAAUCCCCGGUGUAGUGGUGAAAUGCGUAGAGAUCGGGGGGAACACCCGUGGCGAAGGCGGCCAGCUGGGCCGACCCUGACACUGAGGCGCGAAGGCGUGGGGAGCGAACGGG
rnacentral:rRNA from 1 species